rnacentral:misc_RNA from 1 species
GAAUUUUACUGUGUAAAAUUUGAAAGUUUAUGAGGUUUUAUAUUACAUUUUAAAGUUAAGGACUGUAGUUUUAUAAUUAUAUAAGUUCAGGGACAGUUGUUGAAAUUUAUCUCUCGAAUCUUAUAUAUGGGUCAGUUUUGGCUCCCGUCCUCGACCUUGAACUGGAAUUGGUGUUUUGGCUUGGCAAUGUGAACACGGGGAGGCGCCAUGUGAACCGAAUCGCUAAAAGAUUGAAAUUGCUGAUUCUGAUUUGGAAUUGACUUGGAUCGGACUGGUGGCUAGGUCUACUUGGAGGCUAAUAUAUUGAUGGUUCUGUUCUUUUUUGUCAAUGUAACAAGG